CACGUAGGGGGCAAGCGUUGUCCGGAAUUAUUGGGCGUAAAGAGCUCGUAGGCGGCUCGGUAAGUCAGGUGUCAAAUCCUCAGGCUCAACCUGGGGCUCCACCUGAUACUGCUGUGGCUAGAGUCCGGUAGGGGAGCGUGGAAUUCCUGGUGUAGCGGUGAAAUGCGCAGAUAUCAGGAGGAACACCAGCGGCGAAGGCGGCGCUCUGGGCCGGAACUGACGCUGAGGAGCGAAAGCUAGGGGAGCAAACAGG
rnacentral:rRNA from 1 species